ACUAUUUUGGCAGAGAAGUGCCAUGAAUUUAGAAUUCAUAAAUAUAGGUAAAUCCUAUAAAUAGUAC
rnacentral:tRNA from 1 species